rnacentral:lncRNA from 1 species
CUGCUGGUAUCAUUCUUCCCAUCUCCCGUGGCAAGUGGGAGGGAAAUCGGUGUCCCUGCUUGUCUGGAACACAGCAGUUUCUGUGAAACAGUCCUCUGCUGGUUAUUAGAGAUGAAACCCGCAAACACAGCAGAGUGAGCAGAGGGAAAAAGACUCCUAGGAAGCCAGCUGGCCUCCUGCUGGACCUGCACAGCCGGUUCAAGGUCAACUGACCAGGGAAUGCCAGGAUGUGGCAGUGGUCACAGUGAAGAGGAUGCAUCCCCUCCCACCGAGUUCCCACGACAGGCCCCUCACUGGACUGGACAUUCUUCAUUUCAGCAACGUCCUCAGUGACGAUGCUUAUCAUCACCCCAAAGCUCAAGAAAGUGGGUUCCCAACCACAGAUGGAGGACUGGGCUCCUCUGCUCCCUUCUAGCGCUUCCCUCCUGCCCUGAACUGGAGGGAAACAGGUCCAUGUGUGCAUUCCACCUUUGACAGCCACCACAGUACAUCUUACCAGGAUGGAUCAGCACCCCCACCUGGGGUCUCAAGCCUCAGUCGCAGGCUGGGCUGCUCACCUGCCUUCCCCUCACUGCAGUCUCCAUCCCAGCCCCUCCUCCACGGGCCCUGGCUGGGAUGUAACUGCAGGAAAUCAAAACUUCCCUGGACUACAACUUCCUGUUUGGAGGGGACAGAAAUCAAGGAAACCACCACCCCUUUGGAGCUGGACAUGGGGGAUCUCAGGUAUCAGACCACUGAGCAACCCACCGCCAGGCUGCAGGCUUUCAGAGGCCCACCUGGGCCCAGCGUGGCCUGCCCCAGGGUGGGCUCCCAGCGCAACUGCAGGCAUCCUCUAGUGGGGCCUCUGGUAACCCUAGCAGAUGGUGGUGACCCCCCUGAGAUGAGGAAGCUGGUGACCUGAGACUGAGCAGCAGCCUAUGGGCUCCGGGUCAAGUGCUAUUCCCAGCGGAUGCCCUUCCCCUGCGCCAGUCCCUCCUUCCUGAGUGUCCAGCCCCCAAUGCAAACAGCAACCCCAGGCUCUGAAACUACUUUUUUUCUUAGAAAAAGCAAAACAAAACAUAAAACUUGUUUCUGAUUAUGAAAAGCUGUAUGU